rnacentral:rRNA from 1 species
AGUCGAACGAGAAGCCAGGGCUUGCCCUGGCGGAAAGUGGCAGACGGGUGAGUAACACGUGGGAAUCUGCCCAGUGGUACGGGAUAACUUCGGGAAACCGGAGCUAAUACCGUAUACGCCCUUCGGGGGAAAGAUUUAUCGCCAUUGGAUGAGCCCGCGCCGAAUUAGCUUGUUGGUAGGGUAAAAGCCUACCAAGGCUACGAUCCGUAGCUGGUCUGAGAGGAUGAUCAGCCACACUGGGACUGAGACACGGCCCAGACUCCUACGGGAGGCAGCAGUGGGGAAUAUUGCACAAUGGGCGCAAGCCUGAUGCAGCCAUGCCGCGUGAGUGAAGAAGGCCUUAGGGUUGUAAAGCUCUUUCACCGGUGAAGAUAAUGACGGUAGCCGGAGAAGAAGCCCCGGCCAACUCCGUGCCAGCAGCCGCGGUAAUACGGAGGGGGCUAGCGUUGUUCGGAAUUACUGGGCGUAAAGCGCACGUAGGCGGAUUGGCCAGUUGGGGGUGAAAUCCCGAGGCUUAACCUCGGAACUGCCCCCAAAACUGCCAGUCUUGAGUCCGGGAGAGGUGAGUGGAAUUCCUAGUGUAGAGGUGAAAUUCGUAGAUAUUAGGAAGAACA